UACGGAGGGUGCAAGCGUUAUCCGGAUUUACUGGGUUUAAAGGGUGUGUAGGCGGACUUUUAAGUCAGCGGUGAAAUCUCCGGGCUCAACCCUGAAACUGCCAUUGAUACUAUUGGUCUUGAAUAUUGUUGAGGUGGGCGGAACGGGUCAUGUAGCGGUGAAAUGCAUAGAUAUGACCCGGAACACCGAUUGCGAAGGCAGCCCACUAAGCAAUGAUUGACGCUGAGGCACGAAAGCGUGGGGAUCAAACAGG
rnacentral:rRNA from 1 species